AAUCCAUAGGUUAAUGAGGCGAACCGGGGGAACUGAAACAUCUAAGUACCCCGAGGAAAAGAAAUCAACCGAGAUUCCCCCAGUAGCGGCGAGCGAACGGGGAGGAGCCCAGAGCCUGAAUCAGCAUGUGUGUUAGUGGAAGCGUCUGGAAAGGCGCGCGAUACAGGGUGACAGCCCCGUACACAAAAGCGCAUGUGCUGUGAGCUCGAUGAGUAGGGCGGGACACGUGGUAUCCUGUCUGAAUAUGGGGGGACCAUCCUCCAAGGCUAAAUACUCCUGACUGACCGAUAGUGAACCAGUACCGUGAGGGAAA
rnacentral:rRNA from 1 species